GACGAACGCUGGCGGCGUGCCUAAUACAUGCAAGUCGAGCGCAGGAAACUGACGGAACUCUUCGGAGGGAAGGCAGCGGAAUGAGCGGCGGACGGGUGAGUAACACGUAAGGAACCUGCCUCAAGGAUUGGGAUAACUCCGAGAAAUCGGAGCUAAUACCGGAUAGUUCAACGGACCGCAUGGUCCGCUGAUGAAAGGCGCUCCGGCGUCACCUUGAGAUGGCCUUGCGGUGCAUUAGCUAGUUGGUGGGGUAAGGGCCCACCAAGGCGACGAUGCAUAGCCGACCUGAGAGGGUGAUCGGCCACACUGGGACUGAGACACGGCCCAGACUCCUACGGGAGGCAGCAGUAGGGAAUCUUCCACAAUGGACGAAAGUCUGAUGGAGCAACGCCGCGUGAGUGAUGAAGGUUUUCGGAUCGUAAAACUCUGUUGUAAGGGAAGAACACGUACGAGAGGAAAUGCUCGUACCUUGACGGUACCUUACGAGAAAGCCACGGCUAACUACGUGCCAGCCGCCGCCGAAACAC
rnacentral:rRNA from 1 species